AGAGUUUGAUCAUGGCUCAGGAUUAACGCUGGCGGCGUGCCUAACACAUGCAAGUCGAACGAGGUAGCAAUACCUAGUGGCAGACGGGUGAGUAACACGUGGGCAACCUACCGUUGAGUUGGGGAUAACUAGCCGAAAGGUUAGCUAAUACCGAAUAAAACGUACCGGGGCAUCCUGGAACGUUGAAAGGAGCAAUCCGC
rnacentral:rRNA from 1 species